rfam:Aedes aegypti strain Liverpool supercont1.121 genomic scaffold, whole genome shotgun sequence.
UGCCCAGCAACUCCUAUCCCUACCUCCUCGUGGUACUGGCCGGGGUACGAGUAACCUUGGGGAAGAUCGGGUAACCAAUCCCCGGUGGGAACUUUGGUCGUAUGCUGACAGGGAAGG